GGCUAUACAGAGAAACCCUGUCUUGAAAAACCAAAAGAAAAAAAAAAAACAAAACAAAACAAAAUCCUAAGCACAGAGACUCCCAAUGGACUAGGCUCAGCCAUUUGUCCUAGAAAGCCAAUCAAAGAACCAAACAGUGGCGAAAGCAGAAAAGGAGUUUUAUUAUUAACAGUCUGAUUACCCUGCUGUAGACAAACACUGCUUACAGUGGUCUUAGUUUCUUUUUCUUUUUUUUUUUUUAAAGAUUUAUUUAUUUUAUGAAUAUGAGCACACUGUAGCUGUACAGAUGGUUGUAAGCCUUUAUGUGGUUGUUGGGAAUUGAAUUUUAGGACCUCUGCUCGCUCUGGCCCAAAGAUUUAUUUAUUAUUAUAUAUAAGUACACUGUAGCUGUACUUCAGACACACCAGAAGAGGAUGUCAGAUCUCAUUACGGAUGGUUGUGAGCCACCAUGUGGUUGCUGGGAUUUGAACUCAGGACCUUUGGAAAAGCAGUCAGUGCUCUUACCCACUGAGCCAUCUCACCAGCCCCGUGGUCUUAGUUUCUAACAGGAAAGAUGAACAGAAGCAAGCACUAAGAACUUUAUCAGUCCAUAUCAUCGUCUUGAUCUGACCGUGACCAGCCGUUUCCUUAGGGUCUACCAUGGUGGUGCCAAGAAAGUGUCUUGUUUAGGGGCUGUUUGGUUCACUGUCUUAACUCUGAUCCAAUAACUGUAAGGAAAAAGACUCCAAGUAAUUCAGAAAGAAACAGAACAAGAGGGAAAAACAAAGUGGGAAUUCCUUGGUCAGUGUCUGCUUCUUAAAUCCUUGCUGCUGAGCCAGCAACAUGGGUUGACUUGGCUCCAUUCUUGAUAUCUGGGGCUCACAUGGUGGAAGGGACUAACCCACUUGUGGAAUUUGUCCUCAGCUCUCCACUAAACAAACAAACAAAUGUUAAUUCAGAUCCCCACAGUCCAUGUCCUUGGAGAGAUGAAGUAGGACCCUAUACUGUGAUACUCUUGACCUCCAUGCUUGUUCAGUCUGCAUCUGCUGUUGAAGCCCCCUGCUGAAUGUUUUGUUUCUGUUACACUUCUUUUUUCUGAGAUUUAGCUGUACUUUUAUAAAGAUAUUACUACAUCUCUGUUGAUAGUCUAUGUUCUUUAAAUGUGGUGGCUUUGUUUGCUUUUUUGUUUGGUUUGGUUUACUUUGGCUUUCGAAGAUAGUGUCUCACAUGUAGCUUUGGCUACCCUGGAAUUUGUUAUUAUAAACUAAGAUGCCCCAAACUCACCGAGAACUGCCUGCCUCUACCUCCAAGCCCAGAUUAAAUGUGUUUUUAAUUGCCACUUUGAAGUAUGAUGGCACUGCCAGGUGGUACUUAUGCCCAUUUUGGUGAAUGAGUACUCAAAUUAUCAAUCAGUUACGUAAGGAAAACACUUGGAUCAAAUAACUGUCAGAAGAGCUACUUAGGGCAGUGGUGGUGAAUGCUGUUUUAAUCCCAGCAUUUUGGAGGCAGAGGUAGAUGAGUCUCUGAGUUCUAGGACAGCCAGGGCUGCACAGAGAAGAAACUGAUGUCCAGUCGCUGUCAAAUAGGACUGCUUCCUCUUUACUGUUUUUAACUUUGUUUUGUUAUCUUUAAGAUGGGUCCGUUUCCUUUGACUAUCUCAUAAUCUAAUUAAUGACUCCUUUUGAGCAAGGAACCCUUUGGCAUAUUACUGUGACCCUGAGAUUCUAUGAAGCACCUGGAGUGGUUUUAAGUCACCUAUCUUUUCUUAGCUACACAGAGAAACCCUGUCUCGAAAAAAAAACAAAAAAAAACAAAAACAAAAAGACCUAAUGUUGGCUUACAUUUAGCCACCACCAAAUGACGGAGAAGAAAACUUGUUCUCUAGAGUUCUUAUGGGGGCGUGAGUAUGUGUGUUUUGAUAUCAAGUCCAGGGUCUUGCACGUGCCAUUAUUCCACCAAGUUACAUCUUUGUCUUGGGUUUUAUUUUAAAUUUAUUUUAAAAAAAAAAAUGGAUUGCUAGGUAAUGAUGGCCCAAGCCUUUAAUCCCAAUACUCAGAAGAUAGAGGCAGGCAAAUCUCUUGAGUUUGAGAUCAGCCUGGUCUGCAGAGGGAGUUCUAGACCAACCAGUGCUAUUCAGAGAAAUGUCUCUAAAAUCCAAAACCAAACC
rnacentral:lncRNA from 1 species